rnacentral:lncRNA from 10 species
UCAGAGAAAAGCAGGUAGAAAGCAAGAUUUCUCGGGCCAGGCACAGUGGCUCACACCUGUAAUCCCAGCACUCUGGGAGGCCAAGGCAGGCGGAUCACCGGUCGGGAGUUUGAGACCAGCCUGACCAACAUGGAGAAGCCCCGUGUCUACUAAAAACACAAAAUUAGCUGGGCAUAGUGGUGCAUGCCUGUAGUCCCAGCUACUUGGGAGGCUGUGGCAGGAGAAUCACUUGAACCCGGGAGGCGGAGGUUGUGGUGAGCUGAGAUUGUGCCAUUGUACUCCAGCCUGGGCAACAACAGCGAAACCCCGUCUCAAAAAAAUAAUAAUAAUAAAAGAAAGAAAGCAAGAAUUCUCAAGGCUCUGUUCAAAAUGCAGGACUUCCACUCCCCAGGUCAGCAGUGAGCCCAAGGCUCUAGCUCCAGCGGAAGGCUGGACAGUGUUAGGGCCGGAGGUGCCAGGCAGGCACCCCAGAAUGAGAUGCAGAAACGGCCAGUGAGGACAGAAGCCAUGGUGCUUUGGAAGCCCAGCUCCUUCUUCCUGCUGAUGAACAGGCAUCCAGAGAGCCUGUGAGCGGGGCUGUGUGCUCCAGGUCAUGUCCCAGGUGUACAGAAUUUCAGGAAUUUAGUGGAGCUCUCGCCCAGCAAUUUUUUGCUUUACAGGAGAGGAAGCUGAGAUCCUGAAAGAGGUGGGGCCCGGCCCAGGGUCACUCAGCAAUUUUCAGUAGCUGCUCCCUACUGGGGAACUGUGUGUCUGAGGUCGUGGCCAUCUGUCCAAAGAGCUUCUUCUGACCAAAGUGCUCAUUUUCAUAGUGUGACCACAGAGUUAUUUGGGGUGGCCACCCCCAUCCCACAGCUGCUCCCACCCUUCUCUGCUGUAGAAAUGGAGGAGGGAAGGCCCAGUGGCUCCAGUGUGAGGGGAAGAGACCUGACUGCACCUGGGCUGUGUCUUCUCCGUCCACAGUACACCCGUGGGAAGAGGAGUCGGGGCAUCCCUUGCUGGAAAUACCCCAGCCCUGAAGGUUGCUGGCAAAACCACCAUUUAAUUCAGAACAAAAAGUCUGCUCCAGGAGCCCCUGAGAGCGUCAAAAAGAACAAGGUGGGUGGGUUGGGGGGAAACAUCACUGAGAGGCUACCUAGGCCUGGAUCCCCGGCAGAUGCAGGUCCACAACCCGACGCCGACCACUGGCCGGCCCUCCCGAGUGUCUGACUGCGGGACUACCUGGCAUCCACUCGAAGAGACCAGCCUGGGGCAUCCCUCCCUGCGCCCCAACCCCUGUGGACACUCCCUCGGGAGCAUUUCUAACUAGGCCUGGGUAUGUGAAAAAAGAGGAAUCCUUUCGCAGAAGGCAGGCUGGACCUGGGAAAACAGUUCUCCAUGGAUGGAGAAGUGAGGGGAUAAAGGAUGAUGAACUUAGCUGUUUUCUUUCCUGUCCACAUUGUUUCUAGGUUCUUUGGAACCAGGGGUCAUCUUUUAUCUCCCACAGUAACUCAUGUCUGCCUUAGACUUAUUUCCAACCCCUCAAGAUCAGUUGAAGAUCUUUGUAGGAUCUACACAUUCAUACUUUACUUACUGACACCCCACAACCUGUAAACCAUAACAAAAUGCACCUGCUGCACACAUCUGAAAGGUUUUCUUUUUUUUUGUUUUGUUUUGUUUGAGACAGAAUCUUGCUCUAUUGCCCAGGCUGGAGUGCAAUGGCGUGAUCUCAGCUCACUGCAACCUCUGCCUCCCGGGUUCAAGUGAUUUUCCCCCCUCAGCCUCCCAAGUAGCUAGGAUUACAGGCAUGCACCACCAUGCCCAGCUAAUUUUUGUAUUUUUAGUAGAGACAGGGUUUCACCAUGUUGGCCGGGCUGGUGUCGAACUCCUGACCUCAGGUGAUCUGCCCGCCUUGGCCUCCCAAAGUGCUUGGAUUACAAGCGUGAGUACCAUGCCCAGCCAACAUUUUCUUUGCUAUAAAAUGUUUUAAAAUGUAUAACUGAGUUUUGCCAGCUGAAUAUAGUUCAAUUUGUUCUUGUGAUUCAAACUUUAUUAUGUUUUUAUAUAAAGCUAUAUCAAGAAUCCAAAAACAUUCUAUACAUUUGGAAGUUUAAAGACAAGCCUCUAAAUAGGUCACAAUCAAAGAGGAAAUCACAAUGUAAAUGGGAAAAUACCUAGAACUGAAGGACAAUGAAAACCCUACCUAGUUAAAUGCGUGGGAGGCAGGUAAGGUUGUACCUAAGAGAAAAUAUAUGGCCUUAAAUAAAUGCACAUAUAUAAUCAGGAAGAAAGACCAAAAAAUAAUGAGUUAAAGUUUCAACUCAACAAAUUAGAAAAGGACACCAGAGUAAAUCCAAAGAAAAUGAAAGAGAAUGAUAAAAAUAAUAGUAGAAAUUAAUUAGAAUGCACUCAGAGUAUCAACAAAACCAGAAGUUGGCUCUUUGAAAAUGAAGACAAAUAACUAAGACUAAUAACUAAGACAAAUAACUAAGAUAUUAUUUAUGAAAAAAAAGAAAAUUAUACAUUUUAUGAAUGGAAACAGAGGCACUACAGACAUGGUAGAGAUUAAAAAAUAAAAGGACAAGCCAAGCACACUGGCAUGUGCCUCUAAUCCCAGCUACUUGGGAGACUGAGACAGGAGGAUCACUUGAGACUAGGAGUUUGAGGCUGCAGUGAGCUGUGAUCAUGUCACUGCACUCCAGUGUGGGUGACAGAGGGCGACCCUGUCUCUGAAAAGUAAAUACACAGAGAUAAGAGAACACUUUGAAGCAGCUAUAUACCAAUGAAUUUGAAAAUUUAGAAGAAAACGACAAUUUCCUGGGAAAACACAACCUACCAAAAUCACUUUUGAGGACUGCAGUACACCUACAUUCAUUAUAUUGAAUCAGUAGUUUUACAUGCAGCCAAGAGACUCUACAAAACCUCUGUGAUUUUGCAAGAAAGUCCUAACAAAUAAAAAACAGAUAAUCCUUGUAUUGUUCCAGAGAAUAAAAAAUGAGAGAAAACUCCCUGUGCUAGUCUGUUUUCACACUGCUAUAAACAACCUCUCUGGCCGGGCGCGGUGGCUCACGCCUGUAAUCCUA